rnacentral:lncRNA from 7 species
GGAAGAUAGCUUUGCUUCCCAGUUAUCUGGGUAGUAUCUGGUCCCUAUUUUAUAUAGGUUAUGGGGAGAGAUGGUGGAAAUGCCUGUGAUGAGAAGGGAUCCUUUUCUUUGAGGAGCAGACCAAGGUAUUGAAGAGGUCUUUGCUCCUUAACCUAUUGCCUAUGCUGGAUAAGCUGGUGUGCCUUGCUCUGACUGAAAACAGAAGGUUGGAUGGCUCAUCUGAACAAGGGGUAACAAGCAGACUGCCCCUGAUCAGAAGUCUGCCAUGCUUAAUGAAACCUCAGCUGAGUUUCUUGCUUCCAAGCAUGUGAAGUGAGGGGGAGGAAAGAGGCAGAUACAACUGAAAAUCCUGGCUGUCAGUCAGGAUUUAGCAAUGUGCAGCUGAGAUGUGGUUCCUAUUCUCACUGAAGAGCACCUUGGUUACUGAUCCACUUCAAUUCUGAGAUGAUGUGUAAGAAAGCUGAAUUAGCUUCCAUGCUUUCAAACAAGUGUUAGUUAAGACAUAAUGCUGUAGCACAUGGCAACUAAGUUGUUAUUGUGAUAGAAGAGCUCUUGGUGUACCUCUCCCCUUCUUCUGCCUGGAGCACAACAUGCUGCUUCCAUUGCUAAAAGAGAACUGCAUCAACUCUGAAAAACAGCAAGUUGAUUAUAGCUCAUUCAAACUGUCUAUGGGAAGAAAAGCAAACAACGCUAUUAAAAGCAUGACUGUUUCUUCAAUGAAAGAAAACUGGGGGAGUGCUGCGAUGAAGUUUUUUGGAUGUUGUGAAGUUUUGUGGGUUGUGAGUGUUGAGGAAGAGGCAGGUAUAACCAAACCUGGUAAAACUGCUCUGGUGGUGUUUGCAGAUGUGCCUCAUGAACUGUGUGUGAUAAACAUGAAGAGCCUGUCCUGUCUUUAGUCUACCAUAACUACAGAUCAUCAGAGCAGAGUAUCUGUUGAUGCUGAAGACAAUUCUGAUAAGGCACUGAUAAGGUAAAAGAUACCUCAACCACAGUGAUACUUAAAUACCACGUAUAACCUGGCUAAAGCUUUUAUGUGAAGCUGGCCCCUCUGAAACAAAGACCUAUUAAUUCUGUCAGAGUGUGAACUUGUGCUGCAGCUAGUGUGAACUAGGAAAUGAGGACCGCUCUUUCUUGUAGAGCACCACAGGAAAGUGGUACAAGAUCAAAUUCUCAGGUUAUAUAAAUGAAGUCUAUGCCUUCAAUGGGAAGAGCUUUUCCUUUUUAAGAAAAAAAAACAAAAAACAAAACAACGGACUUGAGUGGGGAGCUCAAACUUAUGUCUUCCAGCUUGCACCAACGCAACUUUAAAAUGAGCUAGAUGCAAGUUCUGCUUUUGGCUCUCUACAGAGUAUACUUCCUAGCUUCCGGGGUGUCCUGUUACCUCCUAGGUGGGCAGUGUCUCCUUUUAACCCGCCAGUUUGGUGAUUCAUCUUCCUGGUCAGCCACAGGAAAUCCAAGCAAACCAAAAUCUGAGGGAGCACACAGAGGACAACAGAGGAGACUUAAGCCAGUUGAAGCUGCCACCUUGUCAUUCCUGUCAAUACUGUAGUAAGUAAAUGUUCUAAGUGUAUAGUCAGUUAAAGAUUGACUGACCAGACAAGAAUAAAUUGGAAACCCAAUUUGAUGGAACUUCUAUUUGGAUUUGUCCAUUUGUGACUGCUGCAACAAACUAGUCACUUUCCUAUUUUGGGAACUGGCAGGCGAGAUUGUGAUUUAUCGCAGUUCUUGUGUGUAUGGCAGGAACAAGGUAGAGGUUGGAGAUGAAUUCUAUUUUCUGCAGAUUAAAAACAAAGUUGGUUGCUCAUAGGGAUAUAAUUAUAACUAAUACCAUUACUACGGUUGCACCCAUUCUUCCAAGAUGUUAAUGCCCUGAAAAAAAUUGAUUUUCUAGAUGGAAAAAAUAAAGAUGAGAACUGGGAGAAGCUCUGGGAAACUGGAAGGUGUUGCAAAGGAAACCUCAGAGAUUUCAGGAAGCAGGACAGUCUCCAAAGUGUUCUGCCUACAAAAGCUUGAGUGCCUGAGCUGCUGGUACAUGCUUACACUGACCAUAAACGCUAGUUUCACGAGUCCAUAAUUAUUCUGACCUACAAUUAAUGCUUUCCUCAUACUUUGUUUACUACAUCAAUCUGUUUCGGGAGCCUUCUGAAGUACAGCAGGUGCUGCAUAGCCUUAAAUGGAAGUUCAUUUCAGAAAGUUACUCUAAAUUGGUAAGUGUCUAGGUGGCAAUUACCUAAGGCUGAUAUUCUGAUGAGGCUCUUCUGUGAAGGAGCAAAUAACAGAGGUGGUAUCUUGUCUGAAUUGUAAGUUUUAAAAUAGAAAAUGGAUAUGCUUCCUUAGUACCUUAACCAUGCUACAAGAGUCAACUGGCUCUUCUGAGCUCCUUCCUCCUUGCUGGUCCGAGAUCAAGUAAAAUACUGCUCUGCAGUUCGACAGAAACUGCCCCAGUUCAGGGGGAAGCUAUGGAGGGAGUGGCAAAGCACAUAGCAGAGUCAGACUGAAUGCACUUGAGAUUACAGGACCAGCUGUGCAUAAACACAUGUGGAAAUGAAGCUCAGUAAUUACAGAUGCUUUCCUCUGGAAUAUUAGCUAUCUGAACUGGUAUUACUUAUGGCCAAAGAACCAGAAUGUAUUCUCAGAGUGCUAGACCACCAAAAUGCUGUAUUUUAAGCAGUGCCCUUAGAACAGUGAAUGUAUGUAUAAGGUCUGAUAACGAGUAAUAACAAGUACUGUCUCUCAAGAUGUGACAAGCUAUAGAAGUUCUUGAUAGUUGCCUUCCCUCUUUUAUUGUAACACGCUUACUACGCUGUUAGCGUUUAGUUAACUGGUACCACACACACAAAAAAUCCUAGGGUAAUAAAAUGGGCAUCCUCUUUUGCAUGCAAAUAUCAAAUAUUUCUCCUUUUGGUUUUCAUCUAAGUAACAAAAUCUAUGGGAAGAGGGAGUAAAAUAUUCUGGUCUGAAUUUGAUGCUAGCCACAACAUGUUUCUGUGCUAGUGUCAUAAAGGAAAGGAAGCAUAUCUUGGUGUUAAGUCAGAGGGUGGAUUUAGGCUGUAAUUUAAUGUGCACAGCAGCAUGUCCCAAUCAGCCUGAAAGCCUGUAGUUAGUCUCUUCUCAGGAACCACAAAUGAACAGACUUUGGUUGAGGGUGCUUU